GUGCUUGCUUUAGCAGCACAUAAACUAAAAUUGAAAUGAUAUAGAGAUUAGCAUGUUCUUGCAUAAGGAUGACAUUCAUAUCUCUGAAGCAUUCCAUGUUUUG
ensembl:snRNA U6 U6 spliceosomal RNA